GGUGGCUCAGUGGUAGAGUGCUUGCUUUGCAUGCAUGAGGUCCUGGGUUCGAUUCCUCAGCACCA
rfam:Dipodomys ordii contig_30832, whole genome shotgun sequence.